rnacentral:rRNA from 1 species
AACGAACGCUGGCGGCAGGCUUAACACAUGCAAGUCGAACGGGCCCUUCGGGGUCAGUGGCAGACGGGUGAGUAACACGUGGGAACGUACCUUUCAGUUCGGAAUAACCCAGGGAAACUUGGGCUAAGACCGGAUACGCCCUUUUGGGGAAAGAUUUAUCGCUGAGAGAUCGGCCCGCGUCUGAUUAGCUAGUUGGUGAG